rnacentral:misc_RNA from 1 species
GCCUUGGUGUUAGGGUCUUCAAAUUCCCUUUCAUCUUUAAAACCUGUACCAGAAAGUUUCAGUUGAUAAGGGGGCAGGUUAUGCUUCUGGUCAUCAUAAUUAUCAUAUUCAUCCAUUGCUUUGCUCGCGUUCAAGUGAUUUCUUGCCAUUACAACUGCAAGGACUGAUGUGGCUUUAUUGAUAGGAAUGGUACUCUGAACAUGCUGGUCUACGGCUGUCUCAAAUGCAAGAUGAGCAACUAGCAACCGAAUUAUACUAUUCUGGGCAAAAAGAUCUUGGCAUGCGGGAUAAUUCGCCGCAAGCUCAGAAACAGCC